GGCUGCGGGAAACUGCAGGUAACACCGGAUACGCACGAGAGUGGAAAGUUUACGCCCUGGGAUGGGCCCGCGUCGGAUUAGGUAGUUGGUGGGGUAACGGCCUACCAAGCCUGCGAUCCGUAACCGGUCUGAGAGGAUGAUCGGUCACACUGGGACUGAGACACGGCCCAGACUCCUACGGGAGGCAGCAGUGGGGAAUCUUGGACAAUGGGGGCAACCCUGAUCCAGCGACGCCGCGUGGGUGAUGAAGGCCUUCGGGUCGUAAAGCCCUUUUGCCGGGGAAGAUGAUGACGGUACCCGGAGAAGAAGCACCGGCUAACUCUGUGCCAGCAGCCGCGGUAAGACAGAGGGUGCUAGCGUUGUUCGGAAUUACUGGGCGUAAAGGGCGCGUAGGCGGCUCGUUUAGUCGGGUGUGAAAUCCCGGGGCUCAACCCCGGAACUGCAUUCGAUACUGGCGGGCUAGAGACCGAGAGAGGUGGGUGGAAUACCCAGUGUAGAGGUGAAAUUCGUAGAUAUUGGGUGGAACACCGGUGGCGAAGGCGGCUCACUGGCUCGGUUCUGACGCUGAGGCGCGAAAGCGUGGGGAGCAAAAGGGAUUAG
rnacentral:rRNA from 1 species